UGGGGAAUAUUGCACAAUGGGCGCAAGCCUGAUGCAGCGACGCCGCGUGGAGGAUGAAGGUCUUCGGAUUGUAAACUCCUGUUAAGUGGGAAGAAAUGGUUACUUUUAAUAAAAGUAGCAGCUGACAGUACCACUAGAGAAAGCACCGGCAAACUUCGUGCCAGCAGCCGCGGUAAUACGAAGGGUGCAAGCGUUAUUCGGAGUUACUGGGCGUAAAGAGCGCGUAGGCGGUUUUUUAAGUCAUGUGUUAAAUUUCCCGGCUUAACCGGGAACCGGCAUAUGAAACUGGAGAGCUAGAGUGUAAGAGAGAGAAGUGGAAUUCUCGGAGUAGCGGUAAAAUGCAUAGAUCUCGAGAGGAACACCGGAGGCGAAGGCGGCUUCUUAGCUUACAACUGACGCUAAAGCGCGAAAGCGUGGGGAGCAAACAGG
rnacentral:rRNA from 1 species